rnacentral:lncRNA from 1 species
UUUGUGACUUGUGACGCGAUGCAUGCGACCUGCGAACGAAACAUUGCGUUCCUGCGGCGCUUCGGGGCGCGAUUCCGGAAGGGUGUUGGUUCUCAUGCAUAUCCUCUGCAUGAGGACACGAAUGUACGUCUUAUCGCAGUGAUAGCUGUGCCAUUCGAUGGCGGAAUUCCGAAGAAGUGUCCACCAUCUAUCCUGAGGCGCCCAGGGUAGGAGCGACGCCCUCCCAGGAAUAUAGCUUUUGGCGGGGUUGCGUGUAUUGAGUUCCAACCUUCGCCGGAUCGUCGGCGACGGUCGCGCAGAACGCGCGAAUGGUGAAGCGGCCGUGUGGCAUCGCUCGUGUGGCAACAAAUACAAUCUCUAUAGGAUGCAGGUUGAUUUAUAAAUUUUUGCUUGGCGCUAUACCAUAAAUUUAGUUCGCACAUUAUUGAACAAGCAAUUCGGUUUGACCUUCGCUAUUUACGUUAUAUAUGUGGAUUUCGAUCACCGCUGUGAGUAUUUUUCCAUGUAAAUUACUUCCUAUAUAUCCAUUAUAAGAGCCACAAUGUCAAACUUUUGGUCCAAAUAUUAUGAUAUACUCGAAGCUUCAAUAUCUUGACUAUAGUUAAGAUGGCCGAACGAUCAUGGCCGUAACUGACGUUAGCUAAAACGGGGGAAGUCAUGCUCGUUAAUUAAAGAGGUCGUAAACCUAAGAGUAAACGUAAUUUGCAACUUGUGACUGCUACUUCGCAUCAUGUACAGUAUAAAUGUUUCAUUUUUUUAAUUUCAUAUUUACAAGAACAAUAAAGGAAAGCAAAUU